rnacentral:rRNA from 1 species
GAUGAACGCUGGCGGCGUGCCUAAUACAUGCAAGUCGAGCGAAUGGAUUAAGAGCUUGCUCUUAUGAAGUUAGCGGCGGACGGGUGAGUAACACGUGGGUAACCUGCCCAUAAGACUGGGAUAGCUCCGGGAAACCGGGGCUAAUACCGGAUAACAUUUUGAACCGCAUGGUUCGAAAUUGAAAGGCGGCUUCGGCUGUCACUUAUGGAUGGACACGCGUCGCAUUAGCUAGUUGGUGAGGUAACGGCUCACCAAGGCAACGAUGCGUAGCCGACCUGGUAGGGUGAUCGGCCACACUGGGACUGAGACACGGCCCAGACUCCUACGGGAGGCAGCAGUAGGGAAUAUUCCGCAAUGGGCGAAAGUCUGACGGAGCAACGCCGCGUGAGUGAGGAAGGCUUUCGGGUCGUAAAACUCUGUUGUUAGGGAAGAACAAGUGCUAGUUGAAUAAGCUGGCACCUUGACGGUACCUAACCAGAAAGCCACGGCUAACUACGUGCCAGCCGCCGCAGUAA